GUCGAGGAUCUUCCGCAAUGGGCGAAAGCCUGACGGAGCGACACCGCGUGCAGGAUGAAGGCCUUCGGGUUGUAAACUGCUGUCACGCUAUAGGAAACGCGGAGCGUUAACAGCGCUCAGCCUGACUAAAGCGAGAGGAAGCACCGGCUAACUCUGUGCCAGCAGCCGCGGUAAGACAGAGGGUGCAAACGUUGUUCGGAAUCACUGGGCAUAAAGCGCACGUAGGCGGCCAACUAAGUCAGGUGUGAAAUCCCCCGGCUCAACCGGGGAACUGCAUUUGAUACUGGUUGGCUCGAGGUUGGUAGGGGUGGAUGGAACUCCAGGUGGAGCGGUGAAAUGCGUAGAUAUCUGGAGGAACACCGGAGGCGAAAGCGAUCCACUGGGCCAAAUCUGACGCUGAGGUGCGAAAGCUAGGGUAGCAAACGGGAUUAGAAACCCUGGUAGUCC
rnacentral:rRNA from 1 species